AUUGAACGCUGGCGGCAGGCUUAACACAUGCAAGUCGAGCGGUAGCACAGGGGAGCUUGCUCCCUGGGUGACGAGCGGCGGACGGGUGAGUAAUGUCUGGGAAACUGCCUGAUGGAGGGGGAUAACUACUGGAAACGGUAGCUAAUACCGCAUAACGUCGCAAGACCAAAGAGGGGGACCUUCGGGCCUCUUGCCAUCAGAUUUGCCCAGAUGGGAUUAGCUAGUAGGUGGGGUAAUGGCUCACCUAGGCGACGAUCCCUAGCUGGUCUGAGAGGAUGACCAGCCACACUGGAACUGAGACACGGUCCAGACUCCUACGGGAGGCAGCAGUGGGGAAUAUUGCACAAUGGGCGCAAGCCUGAUGCAGCCAUGCCGCGUGUGUGAAGAAGGCCUUCGGGUUGUAAAGCACUUUCAGCGAGGAGGAAGGUGGUGAACUUAAUACGUUCAUCAAUUGACGUUACUCGCAGAAGAAGCACCGGCUAACUCCGUG
rnacentral:rRNA from 1 species